AUGGCCACCGCUGAUGUCCAGAACCCGACGGCCGCGCUGACGGAGGAGGCGCCCGCGGUGGAGACGCCGGUGGCCGCCGAGGAGGCCCCGAAGACGGAGGAGGUCCCCGCGCCGGCGGAGGCCGAGGUCGAGGCGUCUGCCCCCGUCGAGGUUGAGGCGACCAAGGAGGAGGCGCCGGGCGCCGCUGAGACGGAGGAGGCCAAGGAGACCGAGCCAGCAGCUGCGGCCGAGCCGGAGGCCGAGGCGCCCAAAGAGCCAGAGGCGCCAGCCGUGGUCGAGACAGAGACCAAGGAGGCCGUGGCAGAGGCCGAGCCGGCGGUGGUCGAGGAGGUGAAGGAGGAGGCCGCGCCUGCUGCCGAGCCAGAAGCACCGGCCGUCGCCGAGGAAGCACCGGCUGCAGCGGAGGAGGCCCCCGCGGCCGUGGCAGAGGAGCCGGCCGCCGCGGUGGCCAGCGUCAGCGUGUGA
rnacentral:rRNA from 1 species